CCCCUAGAUGUUCUGGGCCGCACGCGCGCUACACUGAACAGUUCAACAAGUCUUAACCUUGGCCGAUAGGUCUGGGUAAUCUUUGAACGCUGUUCGUGAUUGGGAUAGACCUUUGCAAUUAUGGGUCUUCAACGAGGAAUUCCUAGUAAACGCAAGUCAUCAGCUUGCAUUGAUUACGUCCCUGCCCUUUGUACACACCGCCCGUCGCACCUACCGAUUGAAUAUUCCGGUGAGAAGAUAGGAGAAAAAUCUUUUGAUUUUUUGAAUAUUUUUGAACCUUGAUAUUUAGAGGAAGGAGAAGUCGUAACA
rnacentral:rRNA from 1 species